rnacentral:lncRNA from 1 species
CCGAGACCCCGAUCAUUCACAAGCAGUUCAUCGCUCGUUCUCCCACGCAUCCAUUCCAUUGCCCACACUGCUUAUUCAUCUCUCGGACGUACGCCCGUAUACACGCGUUGCGUCCGUCGUCAAGUUGCCGGCUGCUCGUCGUUGCCGUCCAUCGUCAAGUCGCCGGCCGCUCGUCGUCCACUGCCUCGCUUGCUUCUGGCCGCUCAACAUACGCGCCAUCGUACGCGUCUUUGUUGUCUUGCCGUAGGCAAAGCACCAGUGUGUCUUCAGGGCUGUUGCUGCACUUCGAUCGGCUAAUCCUACCGUCAAGGUGAGAAACAAGGCAAACUGAACUCCUUUCCCUACCACUCCGUACGUGAGAGAAAGAAAAGGUUUGGAGAUGGAAAUAUAAUUCUUUGUUUGCUCUAUGGUUGGCUACAUUGACAUAAUCAUGGAGUUCUCUCCUCAUAACUCUUGGUUUGGUUACAUUGACACAAACCAA